ACCCGGGGUUGGAACAUACAUAAUCUGAAGGAGGAAUUCUCCUUUUUGUGCCACAUAAGGGGGAUUGGGGUGCACUUUUUUUCUCUUGGAGCUUUGGCCAUUUUAAAGCUUUUUCUUCCGACUGUACGCCCGGGUAGGAUUUUAAAUCUUCGUCAAUAAGUUUUUUUUGUUGUUUUGUUGAUUGAAGGCAACUAAUCGGGGUGCUUACCGAAGGAAGAUGGGAUGGUGACUAGUGUACGGCAAUUCCUCGUGAAUUGCAUUCAGGUUGGAUGUGAUGUGUUUCCCCCCCUUUUUUUUUAGAUUUACGAUUAGGACCCGCCCCUUUCGAGACUGGAAACAAACCUGGAUUUCUAUCCUGGGGUGGGAAAUACAAAUUCCCACGGGGUAAUGACAUAAUGAUGUUAUUGGGUUAAGGGUGGAUUACAGUUAAUUGUUUUUCCCCCUUCGCCUCCCAGAGGCAGGUACGCAACUACUGCUGUGAGCCCUACAAUGAGAGAGAGACAAACGAGUGUGACCCGAAACAUGGUGAAGUAAGCUUGAUCGUCGGAAGUCAGGGGAAACUCAGAUGGAAACACCCUAUCAUUUCAAGACGUGCAAAUCGGAUGAGCAAGUUUGCGUAUCAGAGCUAAAGACCCUGUCGAACCAUACCAUAGCUGCUACGCCUAUCAAAAG
rnacentral:rRNA from 1 species